GACGAACCGCACAAACGUUAUUCGGAAUCACUGGGCUUAAAGGGUGCGUAGGCGGUGCGGAAAGUUGGGUGUGAAAUCCCUCGGCUCAACCGAGGAACUGCGCCCAAAACUACCGUGCUUGAGGGAGACAGAGGUGAGUGGAACUUAGGGUGGAGCGGUGAAAUGCGUUGAUAUCCUAAGGAACACCAGUGGCGAAAGCGACUCACUGGGUCUCUUCUGACGCUGAGGCGCGAAAGCCAGGGGAGCAAACGGG
rnacentral:rRNA from 1 species